AGGACCGAUGCAGAGACGACGGAGAGAGAGAGAGAGGGCUGAGUGAAAAGACGGCGACUCUUCACUCCCUUACCAUUUAUCCCUUGUUCGCCCUUCUAACCGAGGAGGCUCUCUUCCGCUUUUUUCCUGACCGACGCCCUAAUCUUGGUCGUCGCGGUUUUACUUGUGAGGCAAAGCUGUGACUCAUAUCAUAUAUAGCAUGACCAAGCUUGGGCCAUCGAGGCAAGUUACAAAGAGGCGUGCCAGAGACGAUAUCCGAGCUAAAAUGGUUCUUGGUGUGGACCUCAACACUCCCCCUCUUGAGGGCCAUGAGCAGGAGGCAUCUUCUGGUUCCAGGCAUCCUCCGGUAUCACAAAGAACAUCUGUUUCCAUUACUCGGUGCAAUCAUCCCACUGGACAGCAGCAGGGUUCUCUUCUAUCAACCAAUUAUGGUACAAAUAGUUUGCUCAUUGAUGUAGAUGCAAUUGAGGAUGAGGUCCAGUUGCUCUCAUCUUCAAGAGGAUUUCCUCAGGGAAGGAACUGUUCUAGGAGAAACCAGCCUGUGACAGUGGUUCUAGAUGAAGAUACUGACACGCAUUCAAGAAGAUCAGAGGGAUUGGUGACCAUGUUAUCUUUGGACAAUCACAAUAAGCAUGAAAGAAGUUCAAGAAACACAACAGUUAUUAAUUGUGAGGCGUAUCCAGAUUUGGAAAAGGAGGACAAUGUGAAGAACUUGACAAUUGGGAGCCAAAUGUUGUGAUUUUGAAAUAAUGUUACAGAUGCAUCAACUAUUCUUUGAAAAUCACAGGUUCAUGUAAGAGCCACAGAGGAAGCGAAGGAUGUCUUUGGACAAAAUGUUUUAUCUUCUCUAUUCUCAAUGGGCAAGAAUGUGAUGGAAUAUAGGCCAGAGCCUCCUAAGCAACCGACUUUCACCUGCCCUAUCUGCAUGAACACUUUGGUUGAGGCAUCAUCAACCAUUUGCGGCCAUAUUUUCUGCCAGAGCUGCAUAAAGGCCUCCAUUCAAUUUCAGAAGAAGUGCCCCACUUGUCGAAGAAAGCUGACCAUGAACAAUUUCCACAAGGUGUAUCUGCCAACUACCGACUGAGGUUUUCAAAGGUGUGGAGCUCGUCUGUGUUUGCCAAGGCAGGGAACUCCUUUUUUCCGCCUCUGAACGAGGGCCGGCAUCGCACUGACUCGACGUUGUCGCGUGCGGGGUCAAGGAGGAACGGUGUUCCCUGUUUCGGCCAUGUCAGGUGAGCUCCUUCCGUUGGAUUUCUUUUUCCCUCCUCCUGUGUGUGUGUGUGUGUGUGUGGAUAUAGUUACGAAGUUACGCAGAUAUCAUACUUUGAGACGGCUCUAAGGGCCCCACGGUGGCGUUGC